GAGUGCACAAGGACUCUCACGGUUACAAAGGAUACGAAGCAGCCAAUUUAUGCCUACUACCAACUUGACAACUUUUAUCAGAAUCAUAGGAGUUCAUGCCCCGGUCAAAUCUAGAGCUAUGCAUGCCUAUGUCAUCUCUCACAGAUCACUGUUCUUUUCAUUCCUCCAAUUGAAACCAUGGCUGCCAGUAUUGAGGGUCAGGAUUCUGUACUAGACGUGAUGAGAUAAAAUGAGGUCUGAAUUUUUUAGCCAUGCUUUCUUAGCUCAUGAAGGCAGGAGCGUAUGUGAUUUUUCUGUACCACCUUCCCGCGGCUCUGAGGAUUUUGUCUGCUCGCUGCCUCUCCGCUAUUUAUUUGUUGUGUCUACUGCAUUGUUUGUUCUGCCACCCUUUUCCUCAGUUGCUAGCGGGGGGCCUUGGCUUAUCGUAUUGUUUGUUGCCUUCCUCUCAUAGGUUCGUUGGUAUUGUAAACCAUUUUUGUUGUAGUAAUAACUACAAUGUCAAAUAAAUUUACAUUUCACCUUGCUUCCACUA